rnacentral:rRNA from 1 species
AUGAAGAAACAUGCUUUACCAUGUCCUCUAAUCAGUUCUGGAGAUAUUGCUAUGCUCCAAAAGGAAGCUCCUGUCCUGGGCUACAACUUACUGGCACAUCCAGUCGAUGAUAUAAUCAUACUGUUUGUGAUUUGUCUUCCUUCCUCAAAUAUGGAUCCUUGCAAAUACUUGGUCAUUAGAACCAUGACCAAGAAUUUCUGGUCAUGCGCGUUCGGUGUGAGGAUACAUUCUCGUCGACUACAAGAUAUCUUAGGUGACUUCGUCAAUGUCAAGAUGAUAUACCGGCUUAGUCUUUCGAAGGGACCUCCUAUGCGCCACAUUUUGCGGCAAAUAGCGAGCGCGCCGCACAAGACACGUGCGACUGGGCCGGCCCAGCAUUCCUACCGACUUGGGCCUGCAUGCGUUCCUACCGACUUGGGCCUGCAGGCUAGGCCGUUGGCCCAACUCCAGGGCGUUCCUACCGACUUGGGCCUGCAGGCUGGGCCGUUGGCCCAACUUCAGAGGAACGCAAGAAGGAAAAAAAACAAACAUGCCGGGAAGGAGGACAAUGGGGCUCAGGAGAUGUUGAUAACAGACAUGGACACGGCGACGAGGACGAGCGGAAAUAGGUCGAGGGGUGAGAUAGAAACGCACUCGCGGGCCUCCUCACGGGCGCGGCGUGCUGCCACGCCAUCUCCUGCUAGUAGUAGAAGAAUAAAAGUGGCUAAGUUACCGCGUCUACCUCUUUUGAUGGGCCUGCUUAUCUCUUGGGCCGCCAUCCGGUUUGAAAAUAUCCGGCGAUUUCAGGAGACGAAAAAGGAUGGAGAGGCAGGGAUCCUCAAACACUGGGCUUUGGUUGGCGCAAGGAGGAAAGGCAUUCAUGAGGAGCAGUUUCAGUCACCUCUAACUACUUUUUCUUUCAUAAAAGGGUAUUUGCAUGACAUCCAGCAGAAUGAGGCUCUCGCUCUAGCAAAGAUCCUACGCCAAGUUAGAAGCACAUUCCUUAUAUCACUCGAUAUUCAUCCGGUGCAAGAAAGAAGACUUGAAAGGAUACUGCACAUGCAGGGCACCCCGGACGUGUGCUUGAUAUACACACACAAACCGGUCAAUAUGAAGCGGGGUAAUAGUAAUAUAGUCAAAUUAUUGACUAGUAUACUGGUGCUGGUCGUCUGGGUUUUGUUGGCUGCUAGUGUUCGAUCUGAUACAUGUUUGAAUACCGUUGAAGAAGACUCCAAAUCAGGGGCACCCAAUUACCCCGGUGUAAUAUAUACUGUCGACACUAAUAGUCCUGAUGCCUAUAGGAAGAUGAUUGCUCGCCUGCGAGAGCUGCUGACAAGGCGCGGGGAGUACCGGCAAGGAGUGCCGAUACUUCCUGAGCAAACAAGCGUGCCUGAUUCUCAGCGGUACAUCUUGCUUGAAAUCAGUGUCGCGGGCACGCCAGCAGGUGUAACAUUUGCUAUCGAUGUUACCAAUGUUUACAUCGUCGGUUAUCUUGUUGGUGGUACGAGGUAUUUCUUUAUGGAAGCUCCAGCCAGGGCCGAGGAGCUGCUCUUCACAGUUGCCGCAACUCAAACUUCACCAACAAGGAGGUCAUCCAACUAUGCCAAGCUGGAACAAAAUGCAGGUGCACUGAGGAGGGCCAUCCCGCUGGGGCUGCCUAUUAUCCAGAUGGUUUCAGAGGCCGUGAGAUAUUGGGAAAUAGAGUUGAAUGUUCUCCAAGCUGCAAACAAUGCAAAUCCUUCGUUUCUACCAGACGCCCGAAUGAUUGAUCUUGAGAACAACUGGUCAGCCCUCUCUUUGCAGAUCCAGACUAGUGAUGCAUUCGCAUUUCAAAGGCCUAUUACCAUCGGCAAUGAAGUCGCUGACAAUGUUCAGUCAACAGUCAUAAGAGGCAUGUUUUUGAUGUUGUUCAGAUGCGCUAGGCCGCGUCGAGAUCUGCAGAUGCCGAUGGACGAAGUUAGACGAGAGCGGUUGAUCGGCCCAGGUACUGAAAUAUUGCGAAGAGAUCUUGGCCUAUCCAUUGAUCCUCCUCCUGUGCAGAAGGAUGAUGACACAUGCAAGCAUUUGGCCGACUCAAGGAGUCGAAUGAUGGGCCGAGAUGGGCUUUGUGUUGAGGUGCAAGGGUUUAACUAUAGUGAUAGAAAUCCAGUUAUUCUCUUCGCAUGCAGGAGCAGUGACUUUGCGAAGCAACUUUGGAACUUCAGAACAGAUGGCCGGAUCGUAUCAUUUGGGAAGUGCUUGGCAGCAUCCGGAGCUACUCGUCGAAGCACCGUGGUGAUACAUGAAUGUGAGACCAUCCAUGAGUCCGCGGUUCGGUGGGAGAUGAGCAACUCCGGGACUCUGUCCAACAGGGCCAGCGGAUUGGUCUUGCAUGCUGCUUCUGAGGGAUGUCGCAAUGACUACUCCAGGCAAAAGUGGAGACUCUACCCAGAUAGUACCAUCCGACCUAUAGAGUGGCUGAAUGGAUGCCUCGAGCUUAGUACUUUCGUCGAGCACCCGAGGUAUAAUUUUAUCCAACUUGGGCAUUGCAAUAACCAUCCCGAGUACCAUCGUUGGAUCUUUACUCAGGGAUCCAUCAUGAAUUUGUAUAGCUCGUUGGUGGUUGAUGAGGACAGGGACUAUCCAGGAGAAGGAUGGCUCAAGGCAGCGCCCUUCCAAGGGGGCUCUAAUUUAUCCCUUCCUUUCUCUCUCCUCCACAUCCUUCUAAGAGUCUCCUGUGGUGCCCCAGCUAGUCGACUCUUCUCCUUCGGUUAUGAUGCAAGGCUGAGUAUGACAUCACGACGUUUCCUUUAUGUUCUACCUAGCUGGGAGGGAUCUGCUUCUGACUCCAGAGUAUUGCGCGGUACAAUGACAAACGGUCAUCAAGAUUUCAUACCCUUAGGAGAACUUUUGGAUUGUGGAACAAAAAAUGGGCUGUCCAAAGGUUGCUGGUUGCGGCUUCACGCAUGCUUGAGGCAGGGCGUGGCGGCGGCGGCGGCUCCCGCGGAUGCUUUUUUACCUGUUCAUCUCGCGGGUCAGGCUGCACUCUCUCGCUUGAUCGAUAAUCGCCAUCACCUCCUCGUCCAUAGGCACCUCGACCGCGAGACUAUCACCAAGCCGAUAAACAGAUUUUAG